AAGGCCCAAGUCCUUCUGAUCGAGGCCCAGCCCGUGGACGGUGUGAGGCCGGUAGCGGCCCCCGGCGCGCCGGGCUCGGGNCUUCCCGGAGUCGGGUUGCUUGGGAAUGCAGCCCAAAGCGGGUGGUAAACUCCAUCUAAGGCUAAAUACCGGCACGAGACCGAUAGUCAACAAGUACCGUAAGGGAAAGUUGAAAAGAACUUUGAAGAAAGAGUUCAAGAGGGCGUGAAACCGUUAAGAGGUAAACGGGUGGGGUCCGCGCAGUCCGCCCGGAGGAUUCAACCCGGCGGCGCGCGUCCGGCCGUGCCGGUGGUUAGGCUGCUCUGCCUGGCUAGGCUUACACAGUGCUGAUAGAAGGCCACCUCUUGCUGUUCCUGGAAGACUGUGAUGGGCCCCUGCAGACCCCCUAGAGCAACUCCAAUCGAAAGCCCUGCAUCUAGGCCAUAGGAGAUGGAUUUCUAGGCAAGCUUUGACAAAGUGGAUGAAACAAUUAUCUCCGUUAUCGGCCAAAGCGGUAGACAUGUGAGAGUUGGGGGAUUUCUGCAGGUGGACAGCCUUGGCUAAGAAUCAACACCAAUGGUGAAAUGUGCCCAGGAAUAGCUCCCACCUCUCUCUCACUUGUGACUAUGAGCAUCUGAAGAUGGAUUGUGUAUCCUGACGAGCACUGUUCCCUGAAGAACAAAAAUCAUAGGUCGGAGGUUCAUUAAUCAGCGAGAUUCUCUUUGCAAAUACCACCUGAAUGAGUAGUCCCUGUUUUUAGAGAGAUUUUUAAAAAACGAUGACAGUCUGCACCAUGGCAUUGUUCUCAGGCCAAUGGAGCACUGUAACAUCAAUGUGCUUCAGCAGAAAUGGAUCCUUCAUAUAAAUCUGCUCGUGAGUAAACUCAAAAAUGACUACAUCCUAUCAACUGGCGUAGAUGAAUAUACAGAAGCUAUUCAUGGAGACUUCAAUAAGCAACCCAUCCAGUCUCUGCCUUCACUAUGCCCUACUUUGUACUGGAAAGUAAAGGGGACAGCUUGGUACUCACACUUUGUAUAACUAGGUUUUCCAAAAGUAGCGCAUACUCACUUUAGACAAGUAUGUCACCAGGUUGGCUGUUGAAGCAGGGUGACAAUAAAGGUCCCAGUCAAUAGUCAACCAAAGUGAUAUGUUCAGAACCCAUUUACUCGAAAGAGCAUUGCUUUAAUGCUCCUGCCCCACAUCCAACCACCCCUAUAUGCUUCCUUCUCACCCAGUUAGCCACUGCCCAGUCUUCAGUGGCACAUUUGUUGCCUUUAGUAUCAAAUCCUGACUGUUGUCUUGUCACUGACAGGUGUCUUCUAAAAUAAAGAGAGUAGCAAUGGAGCUGAGGAGAGCGUGCUGUGUAGAGUCUCUCUGUUAGACAACACCUUGUAUGCACCCUGAAGGCAGCCAUGGGUUAAGGUGCAGUUAGAGGUUCACGUGGGCAAGGCAAG